rnacentral:rRNA from 1 species
GAUGAACGCUGGCGGCGUGCUUAACACAUGCAAGUCGAACGAAACACCUUAUUUGAUUUUCUUCGGAACUGAAGAUUUGGUGAUUGAGUGGCGGACGGGUGAGUAACGCGUGGGUAACCUGCCCUGUACAGGGGGAUAACAGUCAGAAAUGACUGCUAAUACCGCAUAAGACCACAGCACCGCAUGGUGCAGGGGUAAAAACUCCGGUGGUACAGGAUGGACCCGCAUCUGAUUAGCUGGUUGGUGAGGUAACGGCUCACCAAGGCGACGAUCAGUAGCCGGCUUGAGAGAGUGAACGGCCACAUUGGGACUGAGACACGGCCCAAACUCCUACGGGAGGCAGCAGUGGGGAAUAUUGCACAAUGGGGGAAACCCUGAUGCAGCGACGCCGCGUGAGUGAAGAAGUAUUUCGGUAUGUAAAGCUCUAUCAGCAGGGAAGAAAAUGACGGUACCUGACUAAGAAGCCCCGGCUAACUACGUG